rnacentral:rRNA from 1 species
AGGAUGAACGCUGGCGGUCUGCUUAACACAUGCAAGUCGAACGGAGUACCUCGGUACUUAGUGGCGGACGGGUGAGUAACGCGUGAGAAUCUGCCCUUAGGUCGGGGACAACCAUUGGAAACGAUGGCUAAUACCGGAUAAGCCGAGAGGUAAAAGAUUAAUUGCCUAGGGAAGAGCUCGCGUCUGAUUAGCUAGUUGGUGAGGUAAAGGCUCACCAAGGCAUCGAUCAGUAGCUGGUCUGAGAGGAUGAUCAGCCACACUGGGACCGAGACACGGCCCAGACUCCUACGGGAGGCAGCAGUGGGGAAUUUUCCGCAAUGGGCGAAAGCCUGACGGAGCAAGACCGCGUGAGGGAGGAAGGCUCUUGGGUUGUAAACCUCUUUUCUUGGGGAAGAACAAAAUGACGGCACCCAAGGAAUCAGCAUCGGCUAACUCCGUGCCAGCAGCCGC